GACGAACGCUGGCGGCGUGCUUAACACAUGCAAGUCGAACGGAAAGGCCCUGCUUUUGUGGGGUGCUCGAGUGGCGAACGGGUGAGUAACACGUGAGUAACCUGCCCUUGACUUUGGGAUAACUUCAGGAAACUGGGGCUAAUACCGGAUAGGAGCUCCUGCUCCAUGGUGGGGGUUGGAAAGUUUCGGCGGUUGGGGUUGGAUUCGCGGCUUAUCAGCUUGUGGGUGGGGUAGUGGCUUACCAAGGCUUUGACGGGUAGCCGGCCUGAGAGGGUGACCGGCCACAUUGGGACUGAGGUACGGCCCAGACGCCGACGGGAGGCAGCAGUGGGGAGUAUUGCACAGUGGGCGGAAGCCUGAUGCAGCAACGCCGCGUGCGGGAUGACGGCCUUUGGGUUGUAAACCGCUUUCGCCUGUGACGAAGCGUGAGUGACGGUAAUGGGUAAAGAAGCACCGGCUAACUACGUG
rnacentral:rRNA from 1 species